AACCUGCCGAUGACUCGGGGAUAGCCUUUCGAAAGAAAGAUUAAUACCCGAUGGCAUAGUUCUUCCGCAUGGUAGAACUAUUAAAGAAUUUCGGUCAUCGAUGGGGAUGCGUUCCAUUAGUUUGUUGGCGGGGUAACGGCCCACCAAGACUACGAUGGAUAGGGGUUCUGAGAGGAAGGUCCCCCACAUUGGAACUGAGACACGGUCCAAACUCCUACGGGAGGCAGCAUG
rnacentral:rRNA from 1 species